UACGAAGGGGGCUAGCGUUGCUCGGAAUCACUGGGCGUAAAGCGCACGUAGGCGGAUCGUUAAGUCGGGGGUGAAAUCCUGGAGCUCAACUCCAGAACUGCCUCCGAUACUGGCGAUCUUGGAGUCCGGGAGAGGUGAGUGGAACUCCGAGUGUAGAGGUGAAAUUCGUAGAUAUUCGGAAGAACACCAGUGGCGAAGGCGGCUCACUGGCCCGGUACUGACGCUGAGGUGCAAAAGCGUGGGGAGCAAACAGG
rnacentral:rRNA from 1 species